AGACCCGAAACCCGGUGAUCUAGCCAUGGGCAGGUUGAAGGUUGGGUAACACUAACUGGAGGACCGAACCGACUAAUGUUGAAAAAUUAGCGGAUGACCUGUGGCUGGGGGUGAAAGGCCAAUCAAACCGGGAGAUAGCUGGUUCUCCCCGAAAGCUAUUUAGGUAGCGCCUCGUGAAUUCAUCUCCGGGGGUAGAGCACUGUUUCGGCUAGGGGGCCAUCCCGGCUUACCAACCCGAUGCAAACUGCGAAUACCGGAGAAUGUUAUCACGGGAGACACACGGCGGGUGCUAACGUCCGUCGUGAAGAGGGAAACAACCCAGACCGCCAGCUAAGGUCCCAAAGUCAUGGUUAAGUGGGAAACGAUGUGGGAAGGCCCAGACAGCCAGGAUGUUGGCUUAGAAGCAGCCAUCAUUUAAAGAAAGCGUAAUAGCUCACUGGUCGAGUCGGCCUGCGCGGAAGAUGUAACGGGGCUAAACCAUGCACCGAAGCUGCGGCAGCGACACUGUGUGUUGUUGGGUAGGGGAGCGUUCUGUAAGCCUGUGAAGGUGGCCUG
rnacentral:rRNA from 1 species